rnacentral:tRNA from 1 species
UAUUUAUUAGUUUAAAAAAACAUUAUAUUUUCAAUAUAAAAUUAAUUUAAUCUAAAAAUUAUAAAUAA